rnacentral:rRNA from 1 species
CCAGACUCCUACGGGAGGCAGCAGUGGGGAAUAUUGCACAAUGGGGGAAACCCUGAUGCAGCGACGCCGCGUGAGUGAAGAAGUAUUUCGGUAUGUAAAGCUCUAUCAGCAGGGAAGAAAAUGACGGUACCUGAUUAAGAAGCCCCGGCUAACUACGUGCCAGCAGCCGCGGUAAUACGUAGGGGGCAAGCGUUAUCCGGAUUUACUGGGUGUAAAGGGAGCGUAGACGGUGAUGCAAGUCAGAAGUGAAAGCCCGGGGCUCAACUCCGGGACUGCUUUGGAAACUGUGCAGCUAGAGUGCAGGAGAGGUAAGUGGAAUUCCUAGUGUAGCGGUGAAAUGCGUAGAUAUUAGGAGGAACACCAGUGGCGAAGGCGGCUUACUGGACGGUAACUGACGUUGAGGCUCGAAAGCGUGGGGAGCAAACAGGAUUAGAUACCCCGGUAAAG